UAAUCGUGGUUGCAGGGAACAUGCGCGCAUGUCAUCGAUGAGUUGUUGAUGAAGAAGCUGAUGCAUUUUUGAGUGGGCUGCAAACGGAUAGAAGAAUAUAAAGCAGAAAUCAAUAGACUUGAAGCAUCCCAGGCAGAAAUUAAAGCACUAGCUGUUAAUUAUGCUGCUCUAUUAAAAGAAAAAGAGGUAUGGAUGGUAUUUGUUAAUUUGGUGUGGUUCAUGUCUUCAUGUUAGUUUGCUUUUUAAUUUAUUUGACAAUGAACUGUAGUUUAGCAAACUUUAUAUGUUAUUAUUUUUCAA